AUGGCCGGCUUGUCGCCGCCAAGGCGGACGAUGUCCUUGGGAAGCGGCUCCCGGCGGGCGGCGGCGGCCGGCAUGGCCGGCCCCAAGCCCGGGCUCGCCCGGUCCAUGACCCUGGGCAGCGAGCGCACGGUGAAGCGGCUGCGGCUGUCCAAGGCGCUGACGAUGCCGGAGAGCACGACCGUGCUGGAGGCUUGCCGGCGCAUGGCGGCGCGUAGGGUCGACGCGGCGCUCCUCACCGACUCCAAUGCCUUGCUCCGCGGCAUCCUGACCGACAAGGACAUUGCUACGAGGGUGAUCGCCCGCGAGGUCAGGAUGGACGAGACGCCGGUGUGGAAGGUGAUGACGAGGCAUCCGGUCUUCGUCCUCUCCGACACGCUUGCCGUCGAGGCGCUGCAGAAGAUGGUCCAAGGCAAGUUCAGGCACCUGCCGGUGGUGGAGAACGGGGAGGUGAUGGCCAUGCUCGACAUCGCCAAGUGCCUCUACGACGCCAUCGCCAGGAUGGAGCGGGCGUCCGAGAAGGGGAAGGCGGUGAUCGACGGCACCGACAAGUAUCACUCUGGGAGUAACCCGAGCUCGUUGCUAGAGGCUUUCAAGGAGCAAAUGUUGAGGCCAUCCUUGUCGACAAUAAUCACUGCUGACUCAACGGUUGUGAUCGCAGCGCCGGGCGAUUCGGUGCUCGCGGCGACCAAGAUGAUGGUGGAGGCGCAUGCGAGCUCUGCCGUCGUGGCCGUCGGGAACAAACCUCGGGGCAUCCUCACUUCUAGGGACAUCUUGAUGAGAAUGAUCGCGAGGAAUCUCCCCGCAGACUCAACCCCUGUUGAGAAGGUCAUGACUCUAGAUCCGGAAUGCGCGACGGUCGACACGCCGAUUCUGGAUGCUCUCCGGACAAUGCAAGAGCGCAAGUUCUUGCAUCUUCCCGUGAUGGACAGAGAUGGUUCCAUCGUGUGUAUCGUCGACGUGAUCGACAUCACGCAUGCCGCCAUCUCCAUCGUUGAGAGCAGCGGCACCGGGGACGAGGCGACAAUCUCGAUGAUCCAGAGGUUCUGGGACUCCGCCAUGGCCUUGGGCUCGCUGGAUGACGAGACCGAAACCCAGUCUCUGAUGAGCGACGCGACCAGGUCCCAGUUUCUUUUAGAGAAGGAAGCGACCAGGUCCCAGAUGAUGUCCGAAGUCAUCCACGAGGCGGCCGAGCCGCCGUACCCCGCUCUCUUCUCCUUCAAGCUCCAGGACAGGCGAGGCCGGAUGCACCGCUUCAGCUGCGAGGUGCAGAGCUUGACGCCGCUGGUCACCUGCAUACUCCAGAGGCUCGGCACCGACAUCGACCGCCACCGUCUGCCUCAGAUCUUGUACGAAGACGAAGACCGGGACAUGGUGGUGCUGGCGUCGGACGACGACCUCACGGCGGCGGUCGACCACGCCAGGCUCUCCGGAUGGAAGGGUUUGAAGCUCUUCUUGGAUUACUCUGGCACACCGGGCCGGAGAAGCCUGGCCUCUAGCAACGGAACGACGACGAUGGACCUGGCCAGCCGGGAAGCGUGGUCGGCGGCCUACGGCGGCGUCGCGGCCGGGGCUGCCCUGGUCACCGGCCUCGGGGUAAUGGUCUACCUGCGAAGAGCCGGCUAG
rnacentral:rRNA from 1 species